AGGGGUAUAGUACAGCGGUUAGUGCGUAGGUUUCCAAAACCUGAAACCGUGGUUCGAUUCCACGUACCCCUGCCA
rnacentral:tRNA from 1 species